rnacentral:rRNA from 2 species
CGAGAGCUCCGCGACGCAGGCGGCGUGCCUAAAUCCAGGCAAGACGCACGCCUCUGGUAUAGAUAGGAGCAAGCAACAACAAUACCAUUAGAGUGAGUGGCGAACUCGUGAGUCACACGUGGGAAACCAGCCCAGAAGCGGGGGAUAACACCUGGAAACAGAUGCUAAUACCGCAUAACAACUUGGACCGCAUGGUCCGAGCUCGAAAGAUGGCUUCGGCUAUCACUCUUGGAUGGUCCCGCGGCGUAUUAGCUAGAUGGUGGGGUAACGGCUCCCCAUGGCAAUGAUACGUAGCCGACCUGAGAGGGUAAUCGGCCACAUUGGGACUGAGACACGGCCCACACUCCUACGGGAGGCAGCAGUAGGGAAUCUACCACAAUGGACGAAAGUCUGAUGGAGCAACGCCGCGUGAGAGAAGAAGGGUCGGCACGUAAAGAUCUUUGUUAAAGAAGAAGAAUUCUGAGAGAUCUGU